UGCUAGAUCCUUGGACUUCCAUUCACAGCUGCGACUGAACAAUUGUUGGGAAUUGGGCUGCCGACUAUUUUCAAUUGCAAUAUCAGCCACUUCUAAACUACUUGUUUAAGCUGUUGAUUUGGAGAAAAGAAAGAAACAAGAACACAGUAUCACCAUGCAAGAUGAGGAAGAAAGACUAUAAUAGUCAGAGAUCAUCAAGGUCUACUUAGAAACAUUAUCUCCCAGACAUAACAGGCUCAUUACACAUAUGAAAUCACAGAAACUCUGACCAUAUGGAAAAUGACUGCAUUAAGUAAAAUCAGACACAAUCCCAACUUAGACCAGGGAGUAGCUCAUGAAGCUCAAUCCUGGAUGAGAUGCUUCCGGAAACGGCUGACUCCUGGGAAAGAAGAAGAAGAAGUAUUAUUUAGAGAUGCAGCCCCUAGAAGACUACCUAUAUCACAGUAGAUAGUUGUACACC
rnacentral:lncRNA from 1 species